rnacentral:tRNA from 1 species
GGUUUGUGGCUCAAAGGUAGAGUAUUUGCCUAGCAUGUGCGAGGCCCUGGGUUCGAUCCUCAGCACCA